rnacentral:rRNA from 1 species
GAUUUACGUGGGUGUAAAGGGUGCGUAGGCGGGACUGCAAGUCAGACGUGAAAUACCGAGGCUUAACCUCGGGGCUGCGUUUGAAACUGUAGUUCUUGAGUGAAGUAGAGGCAGGCGGAAUUCGUCGUGUAGCGGUGAAAUGCAUAGAUAUGACGAAGAACUCCGAUUGCGAAGGCAGCUUACUGGGCCGCAACUGACGCUGAAGCUCGAAGGUGCGGGGAGC